GACGAACGCUGGCGGCGCGCUUAACACAUGCAAGUCGAGCGAAGCGGCGGACGGGUGAGUAACACGUGAGUAACCUGCCUUAGACAUUGGGAUAGCCUCGGAAAACCGGGAUUAAUACCAAAUGGUCUAAGAUGGAAUCGCGUCCCAUAAGCUAGUUGGUGAGGUAACGGACCACCAACGAGACGAUGGGUAGCCGGCCUGAGAGGGUUAACGGCCACAUUGGAACUGAGAAACGGUACAAACUCUACGGUAGGCAGCAGUGGGGAAUAUUGCACAAUGGAGGGAACUCUGAUGCAGCGACGCCGCGUGAACGAUGAAGGCUUUCGAGUCGUAAAGUUCUUUUAUAUGGGAAGCGGUACCAUAAGAAAAAGCCCCGGCUAACUACGUGCCAGCAGCCGCGGUAAUUC
rnacentral:rRNA from 1 species